rnacentral:rRNA from 1 species
AACGAACGCUGGCGGCAUGCCUAACACAUGCAAGUCGAACGAGACCUUCGGGUCUAGUGGCGCACGGGUGCGUAACGCGUGGGAACCUGCCCUUAGGUUCGGAAUAACUCCCCGAAAGGGGUGCUAAUACCGGAUAAUGUCUUCGGACCAAAGAUUUAUCGCCUUUGGAUGGGCCCGCGUUGGAUUAGCUAGUUGGUAGGGUAAAAGCCUACCAAGGCGACGAUCCAUAGCUGGUCUGAGAGGAUGAUCAGCCACACUGGGACUGAGACACGGCCCAGACUCCUCCGGGAGGCAGCAGUGGGGAAUAUUGGACAAGGGGCGAAAGCCUGAUCCAGCAAUGCCGCGUGAGUGAUGAAGGCCUUAGGGUUGUAAAGCUCUUUUACCCGGGAUGAUAAUGACAGUACCGGGAGAAUAAGCUCCGGCUAACUCCGUG